UAUCAUGGCUUAUGAUUAUCUCAUCUCCGCACCAUGUUGGAAUGGAUUUUUUGAAAGCCUUCAAAAUGAAACAUAUUUAGGCUUAUGAAUAAGAUUCUAAUGGGAAUAUUAAUGUUUCAGCUGUAGAAUAUGGAUAUAAAUAAUGAUUGGGAAUAGAGAUGUAAUUCUGCUGUGUCCCCGUGAGUUGGAAACCAGUAAGCAAGUCUUCUAAUAGAGGUCUGAUAGAGUCAUGUACAUCAAGCGAUCAGCACUAAAAGAUGUGGACCUGAUGUGGUGUCAAGCUGAUGAAGCUUUUGCUUUCUUCUUUUGGCUGUUCGUUUAACACAAGACAAAGCACAGACUGAUCGUCAUACCAUUUUAAGAUCCUGGGAUGUGAAAGACUUUGCACCGGACUGUCGUCAGUAUCUUUACCUCUUCCAUGCCGGCAAUAAAAUACAUCUGAAACUUGUUGGGGAGACUAACGCUCUGAAAACAAUAAAUUGGGAAAAAAAGAUUUGAAUGCUGGGACAAGAAGCCCCUGGAUGAGGCUGCCAAGUGAUUGGUUCAAAUUUCACACAGUUCAGGCCAAACUCUUAGGCCCUUACUCAAAUAGAGUAAUGUUAUUAAUAUAUUUACAUUUUGACAUCAAAGUUUGUACUUCACCGAUCAUAUUGUGCGUAAAGAUGGGUUAGGUUAGAUGAGUUCAGCUUUGCCUUGUUAGCCAACAACUGUCUGUAUCCUGGACUGUCCACACUUGUAUUAUUGCUGGUACACUUUCAGCAGUGAGCCAUAGCAGCAGACGUAUAGAAGGCAUGCUGGGAAUGAAAUUCAUCACAUACAGCUGCAAAAAAUUGUUUUCAUUGGUAAUUAUGUGGGCUACACUUACCCACAAGCCUCAGCUGAUGCUCACCAAAGGUAUACCUGCUAGCACGGCGUUGCAGUAGUCAAGGCAAGAGAGUAUGAAUGCCACAGCUAGUGUUUUUGUUGAGUCCGUUGUUAAAUAUGGUUGGAUCUUGUGUUAAAAUGAUGUUAUAAUAAUACAAGAUACAUCAGUAUCUGGUCAGCAUGAAAGAGAGAUGAGUGCUGAUGUUGGAAAGCCCAGCUAUCACACAUUUUAUGCGCAGAUUUUUCCCCAGUAAUGGAGAGAAUGUUGAGUCAGAUAUUGAAGCCAGAGCUUUGUAUCUAAGUCAAAGACCACUAGUAUUUGACAGUGUUUACAGAGGACAAGAUGUCCCAGCUCAGUCCAAAAUUCAUAAAGACUGUGUCUCAGCGAAGCAUAAGAGUUGAUCUUGGAUUCAAACAGUCAAUGAAUGUUUAGGCAUUCAUAGUGAAAAUACUGCUAACU